GACGAACGCUGGCGGCGUGCCUAACACAUGCAAGUCAACUUGACUGAAGGAGCAAUCUGACAGUAGAGUGGCGCAAGGGUGCGUAACGCGUAAGUAACUUGCCCAAGGUAAGGAAUAACGUCGAGAAAUCGGCGCUAAUACCUCAUAAUGCAGCGGAUCCGCAUGGAUAUGUUGUUAAAGGUUUACCGCCUUGGGAUAGGCUUGCGUCUGAUUAGCUAGUUGGUGUGGUAAACCGGCACACCAAGGCUACGAUCAGUAACUGGUCUGAGAGGAUGAUCAGUCACACUGGAACUGAGACACGGUCCAGACUCCUACGGGAGGCAGCAGUGAGGAAUAUGGGCAAUGCUCGAAAGAGUGACCCAGC
rnacentral:rRNA from 1 species